CUGAGGGGGGAGGUGCUAGCCUCCUCUUGGCUGGUGCUUCCAGCCCAGCCCCCGAAGUCCUGCACCCUAAACCUCCUGGCCCUGUCAUCGCCUCCUGACCGACCCAGUCCUCUGCAGGGAGGGGACGCGGCCAGGACACGCUCUCGAGACGCUGUGGGACGAGCCCGAGCGUGAGGACUGUUCAGGAAGCCAGGAGAAGGAAAAUCUGGACACAGAGAAUGCCACGCCGAGUAUGAAGCCAGAGACCAGAAUGCUGUCAUCUCCAAGCAACGCCAAGGGUUGCCUGUACACGAGAUGAUGUGCAUUUUCGUAUUUACCACUUCUGGAACGGAUUGAAAACCAAGCAGCUUCUAACCUUCAUGAGAAAAACAACAACUUGCUUUUCCUGCAUCUCUAGUCAAGGGCAUUUACUCAAAACAACAAAUACACGAAAGAAGAAC